GAUGAACGCUGGCGGCGUGCCUAAUACAUGCAAGUCGAACGCUGGAGCUCUAGCUUGCUAGAUCGAAGGAGUGGCGAACGGGUGAGUAAUACAUAAGCAACCUACCCACGAAGACUGGGAUAAUCUCUAGAAACGGGGACUAAUACCGGAUAGGUAAUCGGCAGGCAUCUUCUGGUUAUUAAAGGUUAAAAACACUGGUGGAUUGGCUUAUGGCGCAUUAGUUAGGUGGUGAGGUAACGGCCCACCAAGACGAUGAUGCGUAGCCGGCCUGAGAGGGUGAACGGCCACAUGGGGACUGAGAAACGGCCCAGACUCAUACGGGAGGCAGCAGUAGGGAAUUUUGAGCAAUGGGGGCAACCCUGACCGAGCAACGCCGCGUGAGUGAAGACGGCCUUCGGGUUGUAAAGCUCUGUUGUAAGGGAAGAACGGUAGAUAGAGAAUGUCUAAGUGACGGUACCUGACCAGAAAGCCACGGCUAACUACGUG
rnacentral:rRNA from 1 species